AGUGAACGCUGGCGGUAGGCCUAACACAUGCAAGUCGAACGGCAGCACAGUAAGAGCUUGCUCUUACGGGUGGCGAGUGGCGGACGGGUGAGGAAUACAUCGGAAUCUACUUUUUCGUGGGGGAUAACGUAGGGAAACUUACGCUAAUACCGCAUACGACCUACGGGUGAAAGCAGGGGAUCUUCGGACCUUGCGCGAUUGAAUGAGCCGAUGUCGGAUUAGCUAGUUGGCGGGGUAAAGGCCCACCAAGGCGACGAUCCGUAGCUGGUCUGAGAGGAUGAUCGGCCACACUGGAACUGAGACACGGUCCAGACUCCUACGGGAGGCAGCAGUAGGGAAUAUUGGACAAUGGGCGAAAGCCUGAUCCAGCCAUACCGCGUGGGUGAAGAAGGCCUUCGGGUUGUAAAGCCCUUUUGUUGGGAAAGAAAAGCAGCAGGUUAAUACCCCGCUGUUCUGACGGUACCCAAAGAAUAAGCACCGGCUAACUUCGUG
rnacentral:rRNA from 1 species